GUAGGUGAAGUGAUUUACUCAUGGAGCUGAAGUCAGUCGAAGAUACCAGCUGGCUGCAACUGUUUAUUAAAAACACAGCACUGUGCAAACACGAAAGUGGACGUAUACGGUGUGACGCCUGCCCGGUGCCGGAAGGUUAAUUGAUGGGGUCAGCGCAAGCGAAGCUCCUGAUCGAAGCCCCGGUAAACGGCGGCCGUAACUAUAACGGUCCUAAGGUAGCGAAAUUCCUUGUCGGGUAAGUUCCGACCUGCACGAAUGGCGUAAUGAUGGCCAGGCUGUCUCCACCCGAGACUCAGUGAAAUUGAACUCGCUGUGAAGAUGCAGUGUACCCGCGGCAAGACGGAAAGACCCCGUGAACCUUUACUAUAGCUUGACACUGAACAUUGAGCCUUGAUGUGUAGGAUAGGUGGGAGGCUUUGAAGUGUGGACGCCAGUCUGCAUGGAGCCGACCUUGAAAUACCACCCUUUAAUGUUUGAUGUUCUAACGUGGACCCGUAAUCCGGGUUGCGGACAGUGUCUGGUGGGUAGUUUGACUGGGGCGGUCUCCUCCUAAAGAGUAACGGAGGAGCACGAAGGUUGGCUAAUCCUGGUCGGACAUCAGGAGGUUAGUGCAAUGGCAUAAGCCAGCUUGACUGCGAGCGUGACGGCGCGAGCAGGUGCGAAAGCAGGUCAUAGUGAUCCGGUGGUUCUGAAUGGAAGGGCCAUCGCUCAACGGAUAAAAGGUACUCCGGGGAUAACAGGCUGAUACCGCCCAAGAGUUCAUAUCGACGGCGGUGUUUGGCACCUCGAUGUCGGCUCAUCACAUCCUGGGGCUGAAGUAGGUCCCAAGGGUAUGGCUGUUCGCCAUUUAAAGUGGUACGCGAGCUGGGUUUAGAACGUCGUGAGACAGUUCGGUCCCUAUCUGCCGUGGGCGCUGGAGAACUGAGGGGGGCUGCUCCUAGUACGAGAGGACCGGAGUGGACGCAUCACUGGUGUUCGGGUUGUCAUGCCAAUGGCACUGCCCGGUAGCUAAAUGCGGAAGAGAUAAGUGCUGAAAGCAUCUAAGCACGAAACUUGCCCCGAGAUGAGUUCUCCCUGAGACUUUAGGUCUCCUGAAGGAACGUUGAAGACGACGACGUUGAUAGGCCGGGUGUGUAAGCGCAGCGAUGCGUUGAGCUAACCGGUACUAAUGAACCGUGAGGCUUAACCUU
rnacentral:rRNA from 1 species